GCGCCCGUCGUUGGGGAGUAGCCAAUUUCCUGUUCCCGGAAAUGUGCGUGUCAACAUACUCGUUGCAAAACGUGGCACGUACGGAUCGAAUAGCUGACGCUGUUCGGUCAGGCGAGACCAUAGACGCAUCAACUGCUGAUUACUGGGGGCAGUGAUGUGUCAUAUGGAUUUCCCGGUCAGGACGCUU
rnacentral:sRNA from 2 species